rnacentral:lncRNA from 1 species
GACUAGAAGGAGACAGCUUCGGGCUGGUUGGCGAAUAUGCAAGGGAGGGGCUGUAUCUUGCCGAGGGAUUGUAACUUGGUGAUGUAGGACUGUAGGAUGGUGAUGUUGGGCUAUAGCUGGGAGAUGUUGGGCUGUAACCAGGGGAGGUAGGACUGUAUGCAGGAGAAGUCGGACUAUAUGAAGGGGAAGUUGGACUAUAAGUUGGUGAGGUGGGGCUAUAUGAAGGCGACGUGGGGCUGUAUGAAGGUGAAGUGGGACUGUAAGAUGGGGAAGUGGGGCUGUAAGAUGGAGAAGUGGGGCUAUAGGCAGGAGAAGUAGGGCUGUAGGCAGGAGAAGUAGGACUGUAAGCAGGAGAAGUAGGACUAUAACUGGGCGAUGUUGGGCUAUAGCUAGGUGAUGUUGGGCUGUAGCUCGGAGAUGUUGGGCUAUAACUGGGUGAUGUGGGUGAGUAUGAUGGACUGGUUGGAGAAUAUGCUGGACUUGUUGGGCUGUAGCCAG